GGCCUCUCUGAAGCCACCCAUUGAAUGGUGAACACUCGCGCUUUCUUCCGGAAAGGCCCCGAAGGCAGGAACUUGGGAAAGGAGUCUGGGCUCUCUACUGGGCUGGGAGGAGCUUGUGCCUGAGCCCCGGGGUCCCCAUCCGCUGAGGAGAUGGAUGAGGAUGGGCUUCCUCUCAUGGGGUCAGGCAUAGACCUGACCAAGGUGCCAGCUAUUCAACAGAAAAGAACCGUGGCCUUUCUAAACCAGUUUGUGGUGCACACUGUGCAGUUUCUCAACCGGUUUUCCGCAGUUUGUGAGGAGAAACUGGCAGACCUUUCUCUCCGGAUUCAGCAAAUUGAAACAACUCUCAAUAUUUUAGAUGCAAAGCUGUCAUCUAUCCCAGGCCUAGAGGACGUCACAGUUGAAGUGUCUCCUUUAAAUGUCACUGCUGUCACAAACGGAUCACAUUCUGAAACCACUUCGGAGCAAACGCAGCAGAAUAGCACGCAAGACUCUGGAGCACAGGAGAGUGAAGCGCCAUCAGAAAAUGUCCUGACCGUAGCCAAGGAUCCACGGUAUGCCAGAUACCUCAAGAUGGUUCAAGUGGGUGUUCCAGUGAUGGCAAUCAGAGACAAGAUGAUCUCAGAAGGACUGGACCCGGAGCUACUGGAGGACAUCGUGAGAAGGAACAGCUUGUUCGCACAGUGACGUCAUCGCUGCCGAGACAGUGUGCGAACUGCUCAACGUGAGAGCCCUUCCGUUUCAUCUGCAAUAUAACGCUGGUGACAGGUAUUCAAGAACUGCAUGUUCUUCCAAAAGGUUCACUGUCUACUGAGUACUCUCAGCCCAUCCGUACACAUAAAGUGCUCCCAACUGUUUUGAAGCACAGCAGACCCUCUGUGUGACAGGCACGCCUCGGGUUGUAAUUCUCCCUUUUGGAUUUCAAAGUCAUAACUUAACUUCUGGAUUUUUUUUUUCUUUUUGCUUGCUUACAUUUCAAAGACAGUGGAUAAGCCCUUGCUUUUUUAAAAACAAAACAAAACAAAAAACAAACAAACAAAAAAAACAAAGCCCAUUGGUAUUUAAAAACAAGCUCACUUCCUAAAGGCAAAGAGCUUUGCAGAAUGAAGUAAAAUACUUUACGUGGUAUCUCAGACUCUUGCUAAGUUUAUUUUCAUUGUAUGUAUAAUCAGUUCCAUUUGGUUUCACAUCCUUGAGGCAAUGUCACAUUCUAUGAAGUGCUGGCACACACCAAGUUUGUGGACUCACAGGAGUUUGUUGAUAUAAACCUGGAAAGUUCAUAAAACUAGAACAAAUUAGGCUAAAAGUCAAUCUGAUGGUCAACCCAGGACGUUUCUUCUAGCUCAGAAGAGAAAAACUUGGGAGCCUAACUGUUGAAUCCAGGAAUCCCUUCCUGACAGUUUCCUGCUGUUCACCAUCCUGAAAGCAAACCAAUCCUUCAAGCACCAUCUCUUGAGACUUGGCCAUUGUUAUUUGGUGUUCUAACAGAUGUUGGCUCCAGGCUCUUUGCAGGAGAGCAGUAUUUAGCAAUAACUUCUUUAGAAAGGGUGAGUCCAUCUGAAUAUGUCAGACAACAACUUGCCUGAUGUGAAAGUUAUUAAUACAAGCACUCCCACUUUGUCCGUCUGCUUUUUAAUGACCAAAAGUAAUGAGCCUUUUUAAGACUUGUGUUUCACCGUUUUUUUUUUUUAUAACAUGCAAACCGUACAGAACAUUGUGACCAUUAAAGCAAGCUUGCAACUACACUAAUCUCCAUGGAAAUGCUGGAAUGCAGAUAAACAACCCCAGACAAUAGGGAAGAAUGAACUAGCCUGUUUAUUAGUCUUUGAAUGUCUCCCUCGUGUUCACGUGAGCAAGUUCCCUACAAGGAAAAAAAAAAGUGAGAAAAAGCAGGGAGGGGUACUGUUUUAUUAUGGAAAUAGAAAAUAACAUUGCCUUUCAGCAGUUCUGCCAAUACAAUGGAAAUAUAAGCCAUGUAUCUUAUUUAAAAUUUAGUAUUAUCCAAAUACUAAAAUAAAAAGAAAUAUUUAAAUUUCACUUCAAUAUUUUUAAUCUACCCUAGCAUUCCAACAUACCACCAGUAAGAAUAUAGGAGUAUCUGACAUUAAUUUUCUCAUAUUGUCUUUGAUAUUGGCGAUGUUCUCCUGUAUCUCAGCUGGCCUGCAACUUCCUCUAUAGCUGAAGACACUCGUAGACUCUUGUCUCCAGAUCCCUAGUCCUGGAAUUAUAUCGGUAUGCCAUUCAUCCCAAUUGUAUAAGGUACUGGAGCUACAACUCAGGGCUCCAUGCACAUUAGGCAAGCAUUCUACCAACAUCAGAGUCCCUGGUUUCACCACAUUUCAAAUGACCUAAAGGGCCACUGUGUUGUUUAGAAGAACAUGUAUUGUAUUUUAAGAAGUAGUAGAGUCUCAUCAAUGGAGAACCCUUGCGAUCUUCCCUUUGGUCUUGUUAAGAAGUUAUAGAUCUCACACACGCUCUCUGGCCCCUGAGGUCUGACAUUUCUGCCCAGAUUGAUCAUGCCUUAGGUGCUUUUCAUGACACCAGGAAGCAGGCUCACCGGAACCUGCUGAUAUUUUGCCCCAAAGCCAAAGGUGAAUCUUGGUUGCUGGCUACAAUAUUAGUCUUCUAGAACCUUUCUCAGCUGCAGACCGUUGUACUCUCACAACCUACCAUUGAGGCUGAUUUGAGCUCAAGAAUAGACCCUGGAGUGUCUGAUGGACUCAAAGCUCCUGUAACCUGUCCUGCGUAUCAAGCAGCAUCCAGGACUGAGUGCCCAUCAUGGCAGAGAACUGGCUUGAUUCCUGUUUAUGGCUCCAUCACCAUUGACUUCCAACAGCAUCCAUGAGUAGCCAUGUAGUUACCUAGUCAUGUGAUCACUCUCCAACACUCCUCCUGCAUGCUAUCUGGACACAUGGGGGUUACUUGCCAAGUUUAUAUACAGUUUCUUUCUUACACUCCUUUUACACUGUAAGACACUUUUUCUUCUUGCUUUGUCUUGGAUUGUGUCAAAAUCCUACUCAUCCAUUCUGUGGAAUCCAGUAUAUAGCCUAGAUCUGCUUGUUAUUCUACAGGAAGUUUCCUUGAAAUCUAAAAUCAACCUUAUCUCUAACUCAUGAAACUGGUACAGCUUCCAAGGAUAAAAACUCUGACUUCAGACUCUGUCCUAUACUCAUGCAAAGGGUAACCUCUCAGGACAAGCCAAGUGUGAGCUUGCCUUUGAAGGUUUCUCUUUAAAGCUAUUUUUAAAAUAAGAAUUAAUGAUUCACCAGGCAAUGGUGGCACACGCCUUUAAUCCCAGCACUUGGGAGGCAGAAGCAGGUGGAUUUCUGAGUCCAAGGCCAGCCUGGUCUACAGAGUGAGAUCCAGGGCAGACAGUGCUACACAGAGAAACCCUGUCUCGAAGCAAAGCAAAACAAAACAAAACAAAUCAAAACAAAACGAAACAAAACAAAAGUAAUAGUUCUUAAAUAUAGCUGUGCCAGAAAGGGGUCCAAACUUCAAUAUGAAUCCUUGAGCCCAUUUUCGAGAGCCGAGCCCACAUGAAUGCUCAUCUUGCAGCUACCCAGAACCCUCUUAGUAGCUCUGAGCACAUUCCAUUCAUGUUUUAGCCCCCCGUGCCCUCUCACCAUCAGCAAACUGACCUUCAUCCCCCUAAAGCUUGCUCUCCAAACUCUUUUAAGUUCUGCAGUGGAUGUCACUUCAACUAGGCAUGUUCUACAUAGCUUCAGCAUCAACCAAUGCCGUCCUACACUGAGCCCUAGGCACACAGUUUCCAACCAACACAGCUGUUCGUCUUUUCCCAUCACCUAGUUACAAGGCAAACUCUUCUGCCUGAUGUCCACAGCCCACCCAUGCUGUGACCCUAAUGUAACAUCGUAAUGGGAUCUCCUCCUACUCCCUACAUAAACUCCAGACAAAAUGUACUAAUCAACUCCCAAAUGCAUCCAUCCAGCAUCUGGGCCUUGUAUCUGGAGCAUUUUUAUUGUUUUCUUAGUUCCCCCAAAUUCUUAGUGAUUGACAUGUGAUGCCAAUCCAUCAACUCCCAACAAAAACUGCUCCCUCUUCUAUGAAGUCUUUCUGGAUUUUCCAGCAGGAAAGAACCCUUUGGUCCUUGAAUCUCUAUUAAGCCUUUUUGACCUUUACAUUGUAAGCUUAGUUGUGUGUCUUGUGUCUCAUCUUUUCAAUGAUAAGAAUAAAGUUCACUUAUUUAAUAGAUAUUUAUCUAUGGUAUACACUAUGGGAGACACAUAGAAUAUUUAUGUUACAUAUCCCCGUCCUGUACCUACCAUACAUAUCUGAUUCUGCAAGUACUUAGCAAGUAUUUGUGCGCUACAUGACUAAAUCCCUCAUUUGUUUAAAAACUGUAUGUCCAACUGGUUUUAUUGCCAGAAAAGGAGAGCAAGAAACGUCUCACAUCAGUCUGAGUAGGAGUUCAAACACAGAUGCACUUGACUCUGACCCCACUUAGCCAUAGAGACCUUGGCAAGCCCUAACAUACACAGAGUCCUUUGCUCUCAACUUGCACACAUUUCUAACAAUAAUAAUUAUGACUACAACCACAGGGAGCUUGAGCAUCCGAUUUCCAAACCUAUUGCAGCUGAAAAUUGGCAAAUGAGGAGCAAGAGUAUAAAUGACUAGGUAUUUACACAGGCAUUAGUAAGACCGACAUCAGCAGCAAGGGAAGGUCUAUAAAGCUAACACAUCACACACACACACACACCAGUAAUAAUAAUUGAAAAUAAAACAAUAAUCUGUGGCCAUUUAGAACAGGGACAAGCUGUUCUACAUAUCUCAGAAGGGCCUGAGGGCUUCUCAGGGGUUAUAGGUCACUACUACUUUUAAAGGAAAUCCCAAGUGUUCCCACUGAAUUGUGUUUACAACACAUUGUUUCAGAAGAACAUAUUGGAAACGUUUCCAUCCAAGACAAUUAAAAGUAGAACGUUGGGUGUUUAAAGGAUAAGUCCUCAGCCAUCUAUUAAACUCAUUUAUCCAGAACAAGUCUCCUCCCACCCCACCCCCACCCACAGUCUCUGAAGCCAGGAUUUUAUUGUACAUCCUUGUAUUGCUAGGUUGGUUUGCCUCGGAACAUUUGUUGGCUUCAAGAAUUUAGUUUAAUCUUCAUUCAUUAACUUGUAUUCCCAUGUUAUUUGCAAAACACUCCCAAGUGGGCCAAUAGAGGACACAGAAGACAUCGGCCUUAGGUUUGUCUUAGAGGUGCUCAAUGAAAGUCUCCUUGAGCAGGUAAGCAAUGUUUGUAUCCUAAUGGGUAAUCCUGAUGAAGGAGAAGCAAAUGGAUAGAUGGUAAGACAGUUAGACAUUGUGUGGGAAAGGACCAUGGGUAAUGAAGAAGGGUUCUUAGAGCUGUACCUCUCAACUAGAAGUUGGAGAUUUGAGGUCAUCUGGGGUAAAGAAAACAGUACGGAGGGAGAACAAGCUAGAUGCAAGAAACAGCAAGUUUUCUUCAAGUGAUCUUAAGGAGCCAGCCUGGCAGAGCCAAGGGCCUUGCUUGGAUGUAAUAAGAGAAAGAUGACUUUGGAGCAUUUUCAGUUUUGUACAGAUCUCUGCGACCGUCUAAGGCCACGUCUCAGUCUGCUUAGGCUGCCAUAAAGAAAACACACCAUACACUGAGUGGCUUCAACACAAGAUGUUUAUUUCUGUCCAGUCUGGGGAGUUGGCAAGUUCAAAGUCAAAGGGCUGACUUAUUUGCUUCUACCAGCUUCUGUCUUCUUGGUUUUCAGGUACCCCAGCUUCUCACUGUGUCCUUGCGUGCUAGGGAGAUGGUAAGCUAGCUGUUGGCCAACCCCAUCACAAUGCCACCCCUCUGAGGCCCUCAUCCAACUUUUACCACCCUCAGAAUCACUAGAUUGAGGAUAAAGCUACAAUCUAUGGAUUUGGGGGAAAUCAAUCUUUUCUCUAUAACAUAAUAUGAAUGUAAAUCAGACUUUUGUUUUUGUUUUGCAAACUCCCAAAGUCAGGAUUCAGAUGGUUUCUGUCUUCAAUCAGUUAUUUUUCUGGGUGGUUUACAUGACAGCCAGUUGCAAGCUGUAAGGCUGACUUGGUUUGCCUCCUCUGUGUUUAUUUUACAGACCAAACCAUAGAAGAUGUAAAUGUUUCCUUUGCUUAAGAGCUCUGGAGAAUCUGCUUCUAAGAGUCACCAGUUAGUGCUGUAGAUACUCUUCGGGCAGUGGCCAACAGAGCCAUUGGUCGUUGAAUAUGAACAAAUACAUACCCUACAGUUUGUUAACGAACAUAAGCCAUUGGUAUUCUAGAAAGAGGAACACUCCAUUAUUGGUGGGAUUGCAAGCUGGUACAACCACUCUGGAAAUCAGUCUGGAGAUUCCUCACAAAAUUGGACGUAGUAUUACCUGAGAACCUAGCUGUACCACUCCUGGGCAUAUACCCAAAAGAUGCUCCAACAUAUAACAAGGAUACAUGCUCUACUAUGUUCAUAGCAGCCUUAUCUAUAAUAGCCAGAAGCUGGAAAAAAAACCCAGAUGUCCCUCAACAGAGGAAUGGAUACAGAACAUGUGGUACAUUUACACAAUGGAGUACUACUCAGCUAUUAAAAACAAUUAAUUCAUGAAAUACUUAGGCAAAUGGAUGAAACUAGAAAAUAUCAUCCUGAAUGAGAUAACUCAGUCACAAAAGAACACACAUGGUAUGCACUCGCUGAUAAAUGGAUAUUAGCCCAAAAGUUUGGAAUACCCAAGAUACAAUUCAUGGACCACAUGAAGCUCAAGAAGAAGGAAGAUCAAAGUGUGGGUGUUUUGGUCCUUCUUAGAAGAGUGAACAAAAUACUCAUGGAAGCAAAUACGGAGACAAAGUGUGGAGUAGAGACUGAAGGAAAGGCCUUCCAGAGACUGCCCCACCUGGGGAUCCAUCCUGUAUACAGUCACCAAAUGCAGGCACUAUUGUGGAUGCCAAGUAUAUGCUGACAGGAGCCUGAUAUGGCUGUCUCCUAAGAGGUUCUGCCAGAGCCUGACAUACACAGAGGCAAAUGCUUGCAGCCAACAAUUGGACUGAGCACAGGGUCCCCAAUGGAGGAGCUAGAGAAAGGACUGAAGGAGCUGAAGGGGUUUGCAACCCUAUAGGAAGAUGAACAAUAUCAACCAACAAGACACACACACACACACACCAAGAGCUCCCAGAGACUAAACCACCAACCCAGGAGUGCACAUGGAGGGACCCAUGGCUCCAGCCACAUAUGUAGCAGAGGAUGGCCUUGUCCGGCAUCAAUGGGAGAAGAGGCCCUUGGUCCUGUGAAGGCUCAAUGUCCCACUGUAGAGGAAUGCCAGGGUGGUGAGGCAGGAGUGUGUGGAUGGGUGGGAGAAUACCUUCAUAAAAUCAGGGGAACAGGGACGGGAUAGAGGGUUUCGGGGGUCAGAUCUGGGAAAGGGGAUAACAUUUGAAAUGUAAAUAAAGAAAAUAUCCAAUAAAAAAUAACAGUAAUCACUUAUUUCAGUCUGAAUCUUAAUAGAUAAGGUUUUUUAAAACAAAAGACUUUUAAUAUUUUGUUGUAAGAAUAAAAUAACUUUAAAAAAAUUGUUGGAGUGUUAGCAGACAGUAAAAUUAAAUGCAACACGUCUCCGUGUCAUACCACAGCCAUGGCCUUCAGAGCAGCUGGCCAGCUAUAAUCUACUUUUCUGAACUUUCUCAGCUCUUUCUCUUCAGAUUUUGACAGCUGAUGUAUAGUGUCUUCUCCCAAGUCCGUGUUAUUUGUUUCCUUGGCUUCUUCCGUAAGAUCAUAUUCUUCAUCUGAAUCAUCACUUUCUUUGUUUCCCUCCAUAUCUACAUCAUCAGGAAUUUCUUCCACACUUUUUAGUCUCUUUAGACAGCAGCGGUGAGUUUACAAACAGAGAACAGAGGAGCGAAGCUGAUGGCAGUACGCGAGCUGGGGUGUGAAGAAUCUUAGUAACUGCAGGUAUGGUCUCUGUUAAGGGGAGUUGUAGCAGUUCAUCCUCUGAAGUUUCAGUUAACUUUGCAUCCUGCUGUUGCCUGCCUUUUCCCAAUAUAAAAGGAAAUGGGGUCGUUGGCAAACUUUCUUCUGCCAGCAGCCAUCUGCUUGUAGGUGUGAGUUUCUCUUCAGGAGACUUUGUGAUGUUAAUAAGCACCGUGCUUUUAGUUAGGAGGUAAAACUGAGAUCUGUUCAGCUACUGGUGAGCUUCUGAGGGGAACGAUUCCGAUUCCGGGACAUCUUAUGGAACAAACACUCCCUCUCUGGAGACAUUCUUUUGAAUAUACAAUAGCCUUGGCUUGCUAGGUUUAAAUACAAACAGAUCUGAGCCCACUGAAGACUCUGCCACUGCAGCAACAUGGUCUGAGUAAGGGUUGGGUUCCAGAACUCUAACAUUUAAUUUUGUACUCCACUGUAUUGAACAACUGAGCAGAUCCCAACAGCAGAGGCUGUCCUCCUCAGCAGUGCCGAGAAGGUACUUGGAGAGGGUCAGUCUUCCAAAGCAAAGGUGCCUUAUUCUCCCAGUUCAUUGGCAAAAUGUACAUUUUAGUUCCCAUGUUUCUGAAUCCCGUAUCGUAACUAUUUCUCAAAACUAACUGCUAGCAAGGAGCCAUCUUCAGAGAAACAACAAUUGCUUGGUACUUGUAGUAACUAUAGUUACUAUCCACAAAGUCGCAAGUCCAGCCAACAGCUUUUUUUGUAGAUAUCAGAGUCAUCUGUUAAUAUCCACACUUUGAAGUGGCCAUCUCUGCUAGCUGUGACCAGUAUGGGUUUUUCAUAGUUUUCUGCAUUAUUGGAACAGAGAGCUGUGAUGUGGUCAACGUGUGGCAUGGUCGUCUUUGUGUUAAGAACAAGCCCUUGGAUUUUUCUUGCUAUAGCCCCACAGUUUCAUUUGCAGCUUCAGCUCAUUUUCAUUUUCUUGCUGUUGUUCAACUGUUGUCAACCAAGUCCCAGAGCCGCCAAAGGCAGCCUUCGUUAGUUCAAUUUGGGUUAGACCCUCAUCCUUGAUGUACUCCUGCUGUAUGAUAUUUAGAUUAUAGGCUUUCCAUUCAAAACCAAAGCUUUGGUUCUUGGGUCAACCAUCAAACCAGUAGAUACCCUCCUAUCCUUUACUAGGCCUUGAAUUACUGCAGACACAUCGAGAUUCCAGUGAACAACUAUUAUCUUGUUAUCAGGGUGAAAAGUACAGAAUGAAUCUCCCCGCAGGUGAGACAGAGAUGUGCUCAAUAGAAGAUCCUAAGCGAGGAAGAAACUCUUUGUUCUUCUCUGAUCCAUCUCGCCACUCCACAAGCACACACUCUCGCCCGCCACUCAGCAGACUGAUGCCUGUUACUGUAAAAGCCAAAUCCAUAACCAUGUCAUGGGGCCAAUGCGAGCAUAUGUAUGUGUGCUUCUUAUCGUUAUGAAAAUUCCUCCAAAGGCAGAUACUGCCAUCCUUGUGACCUGAUGCAAUGCAGUCUUCCUAUGGGUGGCAGGCUACACAUGUGAACUUGUUCUUCACAUUCUUCUUGGUUUUUGUUGAUAGUAAAGUAAAAUUGCGUGGUUUUUUUUUUUCUGCCUGAAAAAAUAAACAGAUUGCAGCGACAUAUUCUCCCUCAUUUCCAAAGGCAAUGAAUUUUGUUUAUGUAAUCCAGAACAAAGGUGAGCUCCUUGGCUUGUAAGGAAGAUGGGAUCUUUGGUGUGAGGAGGAAUAAAGAGGGCAUGGAAUUUAGGUCCAACAAUGAAAGUCUUUAUCAAAAUGCCAGCAAGAUAGUCCCACAGCUUCAUUGUGCCAUCAAAGGAACAAGAGUAGAGCUGCAGGUGGUUGCUGGGGUUGGUGAGGAUUCCAGACACCAGAUGUUUGUGCCCAUGCAGAAUGUGUUCACUCUCUUCUGCGCCCGUGCUAUAGACCCUAAUGGAGUCUCCAGAGACACAGAAGACAUACUUGGAAUCCACAGAGAACACGGCUCUCCUGAAGUUAAGCCGGCUACCACUGCAGUGAACCACGUGUACUCUCCCUUCUACCAUCCUCACGCAGACGCAGGAACCUGAUAAGACGGAUUUUAAUAUAAGCUUAGAAAUAAGUACCGUGCCAAGAGGGAAAGAAAAGGCAAGGGCAGCCAUCCAGGGUACUAUAACAGAAGUGUAAUAGAACACCGAAAGAUGGCAAUCUGAAUCUAUUGCUAGGAAGGGUUGUCUUGACAAGUAAUGAAACGUAUUGACAGUAAUAUCAGGCUGUCAUUGGAAUGUCACAGAGACACUGGAGUUUUCAAGCAAAGUGACUGGAAGUCAUUCAAGAUAUCUGGGCUGUUAUAACAGAUCAACUACAGAUAUUUUUAUUCCAAACUCCUGGGUGAGAAAAUAUUUGGAAUAAAGUACAGUGCAUGUAUAUACAGGCUUAUAUGGAUAAAAUUUGAUUUUUAUUUCCCUGGAAAUUUAACAGUCUUUUUUAUGAGUUGAGAGCCAGUGUCCAGGGACAAGAGGUUGACUUAAUGUGAAGCCAGUGUUUAUGUUGUCUUGAUAGGACAGAGAAUUCCUGCUCUGUUUUCUGUCUUCCACUAAGAGCCUGGGGACUCUGGGGUGUGGUGCUUGCUUCUUCAAAAUAUUUCUAAAUUGUUUCUCAGUGUUUUGUUUUGUUUUGUUUUGUUUUAUCUCAAAGCUGCUUUCUUUAUAUUGCUAGACCUCAAAGAGGCUCAUAUGGAAAAGAGAACAGAGACAUUUGACUAUUUUGCUGGUUUUCAUUCUUCUUUUCAAUAGAGAAUUCACUAGAAACUGGAAAUCAUUAAAGUCUAUUUUCUAGCCUCAAAGUAUGUGCCUCUGCCUUGCAGUAGGCUGGCUUAAACAGAUUGGUAAAUUCAAUUUCACAACUACAGAAAGAGUCCUUCUCCAAAUCAGUAUGUGGUCGUUUCUGUAGGUUCUGGCUAUUUAUGUAUUAAAAUAAAGCAAAGUGGUCCUUUCUAACAUUUUUAUUUAAACAGAAAUUCAACUCUGUUAUUCUGAAUGCUGUCUCCAUCGCUUAACGCUGUGUCAGCAGUUCUCAACCUGGGGGUUGAACACAUCUGGGGGUCGAACACAUCUGGAGGUCACCUAAGACCAUCAGGAGAUACAGAUAUUUACGUUACAAUUCACAACAGUGCAAACAUACAGUUAUGAAGUAGUGGUAAAAACAUGUUAUGGUUGGGGGUCACCACAACAUGAGGAGCUAUGUUAAAGGGUCUCAGCAUUGCCAGGCAGUGGUGGCACAUGCCUUUAAUCUCAGCACUUGGGAGUCAGAGGCAGGCAGAUAUCUGAAUUUGAGGCCAGCCUGGUCUACAGAGUGAGUUCCAGGACAGCCAGGGCUACACAGAGAAACCCUGUCUGGAAAAAUAAAAAGGGCGGGGGGGGGGGGGCUGGGGGGUGUCUCAGCACUGGGAAGGUGAGAACCACUGCUCUCUGCCUUCUCUAGCCAAAUUUAUUUAUUUUUCUUUUGCUCAGUCACUACUGUUUUCCUACUAUAUCAGGAUCUAUUAAGGGUUAGCAUUAUGCUGUGUGUGUUACCUGGAGAAGAACUUAUAACUUCGACCCUAGCUUCUCACAGGCAGAGUCUUCACACGGUACUCAUCUUUUAGAGAAAGAAAUGAGACCAGGACGCCGUGGUACCUUGCCCUGUAGUGUUUUAAAUUGUGGGCAUUCGUGCUGUAAGAGCCUUCAGUCCCAUUUCUGGUCUACUUCCUGUUGUCUUUGUUAUCUGAAAGUGAUCUCUUAAGUAAACCUGCGAAGUACUGAAGAAAGUUUGGCUUCACUGGAUGCCUUUCCCCUAGCUGGCCUGCCUGGUUGGGCCUCAGUGGGAGAGAGCACAGUCUGUUUUGACUUGACUUGCUGUCACAGGGCAGGGUGGUAGACAAGGGGGAAUCCCCCUUCUCUGAUAAAAUGAGGUGAGGGAUUUGUGAGUGUGGGAAUGGGAGGAGAGGUGGCUGGCUAUGACUGGGAUGUCAAGUGAAUAAAUAAAUAAAACAAUUUGGAAAAAAGAAA